CUGGUCAGAAUGUCGCCAGUCGGGGCGGGGAGCUUCCCUAGAGAGGACGCGGAGACCUCAGCUCGCCCCACCCAUGGAGCAAGGUCUCACCCUGCUGUGGAGCAGCAUUGCAGGGUGCAUCUGCGGGGGCAGGGGCAGGGUUACCAAGCACUGUCAGAGAAGUACCCGCUCAGCUUGGGGGGAUCGAACUCAGGACCUUGGGCUUGUGAGGCAGGCGCCGGAACCACUGAGCUAAAUCCCCGGCCCAACACAUCUCUUUUACUUAAGGAAGCUCUGCCUGGGAUUCCUUUUCCUUUUGCUGGAUCCUGGAAAUUGUCUCAAGGCCAAAAGUUGGGAAAAGCACAUGGAUCACCUUUAUGGUUUCCUAUUUUCCCCCCGUUCUGGGGAUGGAACCCAGGGCCUCACACCUGCUAAGCUACUCUACUACUGAGUUACAUCCCUGGCCCUGAUUUCCCAUUCUCAUUGCUUUACAUUAAAUGUCUUGAAAAUUAUCCCAUGCAUUUUGUAUGGAGUUUCAGUUGUUUUGUGCUGGAGAGAAAUCCAGUCUGUUCUGCCUGGGUUAGAGUCAUUGAAGGCUCUCAGUACUCUGCUUCCAGUGAUUGUGCUGUUAACUUGGGAGGCCGGCAGUUCCAGAGCAGAUGGGAGUAGCUUCCGGGACUGGCUGGAUAAAGAAAAGUGGUUACCAUGAGACAGCGUGCUUCUCUGUGCCCGUAGCUGUGCAUCUGUCAUCCUCAACUGCAUAUCUGUCCGCACGUCUGUCUGCGUGUCUGGGUGCAUUCCGCUGAGUCUGGAAAGCCGUCUGUGGCUGCCCUCCGGGACA
rnacentral:lncRNA from 1 species